CAGCCGCCACGGUAAUACGGAGGGUGCAAGCGUUAAUCGGAAUUACUGGGCGUAAAGCGCACGCAGGCGGUCUGUCAAGUCAGAUGUGAAAUCCCCGGGCUUAACCUGGGAACUGCAUUUGAAACUGGCAGGCUAGAGUCUUGUAGAGGGGGGUAGAAUUCCAGGUGUAGCGGUGAAAUGCGUAGAGAUCUGGAGGAAUACCGGUGGCGAAGGCGGCCCCCUGGACAAAGACUGACGCUCAGGUGCGAAAGCGUGGGGAGCAAACAGGAUUAGAUACCCGCGUAGUCCUGUCUCUUAUACA
rnacentral:rRNA from 1 species